CCUACGGGAGGCAGCAGUGAGGAAUAUUGGUCAAUGGGAGAGAUCCUGAACCAGCCAAGCCGCGUGAGGGAAGACGGCCCUAUGGGUUGUAAACCUCUUUUGUCGGAGAACAAAACCCGGGACGUGUCCCGGACUGCGUGUAUCCGAAGAAAAAGCAUCGGCUAACUCCGUGCCAGCAGCCGCGGUAAUACGGAGGAUGCGAGCGUUAUCCGGAUUUAUUGGGUUUAAAGGGUGCGUAGGCGGUCCGUUAAGUCAGCGGGAAAAUUGCGGGGCUCAACCCCGUCUAGCCGUUGAAACUGGCAGACUUGAGUUGGCGAGAAGUACGCGGAAUGCGCGGUGUAGCGGUGAAAUGCAUAGAGAUCGCGCAGAACUCCGAUUGCGAAGGCAGCGUACCGGCGCCAGACUGACGCUGAGGCACGAAAGCGUGGGGAUCGAACAGGAUUAGAUACCCGAGUAGUC
rnacentral:rRNA from 1 species